GAAGGUAUAGCUCAAGUGGUAGAGCACGUGCUUAGCAUACACAGGGUCCUGGGUUCAAUCCCCAGUAACUCCU
rnacentral:tRNA from 1 species